GUAGGCAACCUGAGCACGCCAGGUGUUGUGGAACUACAAGUCCCAUAAAGCAUUGCAAGACAGUGGCAGCCAUGGGCAUGACUCCUAGAAGCAGAAGCAUUAUGGGAUUUGUAGUUUUGUCACAGCUGACG